GACGCACGCUGGCGGCGUGCUUAACACAUGCAAGUCGCACGACGUUGCGAACUGGUGAGUAAUACGUGGGUAACCUGCCCUCAUUUUUGGGAUAAGCCUUUGAAACGGGGUCUACUACCGAAUAACGGGGGAUGGGUUCGCGGCCUAUCAGCUUGUUGGUGGGGUGAUGGCCUACCAAGGAGGUGACGGGUAGCCGGCCGAAGAGGGUGACCGGCCACAUUGGGACGGAGAUACGGCCCAGACUCCUACGGUAGGCAGCAGUGGGGAAGAUUGCACAAUGGGCGCAAGCCGGAUGCAGCCAUGCCGCGUGUAUGAAGAAGGCCUUCGGGUUGUAAAGUACUUUCAGCGAGGAGUCGUUACUCGCAGAAGAAGCACCGGCUAACUCCGUGCCAGCCGCCGCGGUAAUUC
rnacentral:rRNA from 1 species